rnacentral:lncRNA from 1 species
CUUUUAGGUAGAAAAUAUAAAUAGAAUUCUCAAAGGAAAACCUCUCAUCCAUCGAGAGAUUUCUCAAUUGAAGCCGGCUCUUCUAUUUCCUUCUAGGGUUCUCCUCCAUCUCCUUCAAUCGGUAAUAAUUGAACUAUUUUCCUGUAGUCUCUGGAAAGAGGUACUCUUGAAAACUCAUAAUGUUAAUGGGAUUUGGUAACAAACGAUUCUCUGUUUGUGUGAUGAUCAGUUUGGCUGAUUUUGUAUUUUGCCUGUGCAAAAGAGAUCCAUAACGUGUUCUGGCCAGAAUUUCAGCUUUCAAAGUGAGGUCAAAGCUUGCAAAUUCCUGUUUUUGUACUUUGGGUAAUAUUUUAUUAUUACCUUUGGUUUUAAUUUGCCUGCAUCCACGUGAGCUGUUCGGCUAGUUUAAUCAGAACUUUGUCAGUUUUGCUCGAAUGAAAGGGGCACUUUCAAGGGUGGUUGUUUUUGGCAAGCAACUUGUUUAAUGCUGUGAGUUCGGGAUUUAGUGAGUGGAACCUGAAUCUUAGUGGGAUGAAUUUGAAUUAUAAUGUUGAUGGUAUGAA